GGUUAAGCGACUAAGCGUACACGGUGGAUGCCCAGGCAGUCAGAGGCGAUGAAGGGCGUGCUAAUCUGCGAUAAGCGUCGGUAAGGUGAUAUGAACCGCAAUACCCGACGAUACCCGAAUGGGGAAACCCAGUGCAAUCCGUUGCACUAUCAUGUCAUGAAUACAUAGUGGCAUGAGGCGAACCGGGGGAACUGAAACAUCUAAGUACCCCGAGGAAAAGAAAUCAACCGAGAUUCCCCCAGUAGCGGCGAGCGAACGGGGAACAGCCCAGAACCUGAAUCAGUUUGUGCCUUAGUGGAAGCGUCUGGAAAGUCGCGCAGUAAAGGGUGACAGCCCCGUACACAAAAAGGCACUUGCUGUGAGUUCGAUGAGUAGGGCGGGACACGUGACAUCCUGUCUGAAUAUGGGGGGACCAUCCUCCAAGGCUAAAUACUCCUGACUGACCGAUAGUGAACCAGUACCGUGAGGGAAAGGCGAAAAGAACCCCGGCGAGGGGAGUGAAACAGAACCUGAAACCGUGUACGUACAAGCAGUGGGAGCACCUUCGUGGUGUGACUGCGUACCUUUUGUAUAAUGGGUCAGCGACUUAUAUUCUGUAGCAAGGUUAACCGUAUAGGGGAGCCGCAGGGAAACCGAGUCUUAACUGGGCGUUAAGUUGCAGGGUAUAGACCCGAAACCCGGUGAUCUAGCCAUGGGCAGGUUGAAGGUUGGGUAACACUAACUGGAGGACCGAACCGACUAAUGUUGAAAAAUUAGCGGAUGACCUGUGGCUGGGGGUGAAAGGCCAAUCAAACCGGGAGAUAGCUGGUUCUCCCCGAAAGCUAUUUAGGUAGCGCCUCGUGAACUCAUCUCCGGGGGUAGAGCACUGUUUCGGCUAGGGGGCCAUCCCGGCUUACCAACCCGAUGCAAACUGCGAAUACCGGAGAAUGUUAUCACGGGAGACACACGGCGGGUGCUAACGUCCGUCGUGAAGAGGGAAACAACCCAGACCGCCAGCUAAGGUCCCAAAGUCAUGGUUAAGUGGGAAACGAUGUGGGAAGGCACAGACAGCCAGGAUGUUGGCUUAGAAGCAGCCAUCAUUUAAAGAAAGCGUAAUAGCUCACUGGUCGAGUCGGCCUGCGCGGAAGAUGUAACGGGGCUAAACCAUGCACCGAAGCUGCGGCAGCCGUUGGGUAGGGGAGCGUUCUGUAAGCCGUCGAAGGUGUGCUGUGAGGCAUGCUGGAGGUAUCAGAAGUGCGAAUGCUGACAUAAGUAACGAUAAAGCGGGUGAAAAGCCCGCUCGCCGGAAGACCAAGGGUUCCUGUCCAACGUUAAUCGGGGCAGGGUGAGUCGACCCCUAAGGCGAGGCCGAAAGGCGUAGUCGAUGGGAAACGGGUUAAUAUUCCCGUACUGGGUGUUACUGCGAAGGGGGGACGGAGAAGGCUAUGUUAGCCGGGCGACGGUUGUCCCGGUUUAAGCGUGCAGGCUUGAGUUCCAGGCAAAUCCGGAACUCUUUAAGGCUGAGGCGUGAUGACGAGGCACCACGGUGCUGAAGUAACAAAUGCCCUGCUUCCAGGAAAAGCCUCUAAGCAUCAGGUAACAUCCAAUCGUACCCCAAACCGACACAGGUGGUCAGGUAGAGAAUACCAAGGCGCUUGAGAGAACUCGGGUGAAGGAACUAGGCAAAAUGGUGCCGUAACUUCGGGAGAAGGCACGCUGGCGCGUAGGUGAAGCGACUUGCUCGUGGAGCUGAAGCCAGUCGAAGAUACCAGCUGGCUGCAACUGUUUAUUAAAAACACAGCACUGUGCAAACACGAAAGUGGACGUAUACGGUGUGACGCCUGCCCGGUGCCGGAAGGUUAAUUGAUGGGGUUAUCCGCAAGGAGAAGCUCUUGAUCGAAGCCCCGGUAAACGGCGGCCGUAACUAUAACGGUCCUAAGGUAGCGAAAUUCCUUGUCGGGUAAGUUCCGACCUGCACGAAUGGCGUAAUGAUGGCCAGGCUGUCUCCACCCGAGACUCAGUGAAAUUGAACUCGCUGUGAAGAUGCAGUGUACCCGCGGCAAGACGGAAAGACCCCGUGAACCUUUACUACAGCUUGACACUGAACAUUGAGCCUUGAUGUGUAGGAUAGGUGGGAGGCUUCGAAGCGUGGACGCCAGUCUGCGUGGAGCCAACCUUGAAAUACCACCCUUUAACGUUUGAUGUUCUAACCUGGCGCCGUUACCCGGCGUGGGGACAGUGUCUGGUGGGUAGUUUGACUGGGGCGGUCUCCUCCCAAAGAGUAACGGAGGAGCACGAAGGUCAGCUAAUCACGGUCGGACAUCGUGAGGUUAGUGCAAUGGCAUAAGCUGGCUUGACUGCGAGAGUGACGGCUCGAGCAGGUGCGAAAGCAGGUCAUAGUGAUCCGGUGGUUCUGAAUGGAAGGGCCAUCGCUCAACGGAUAAAAGGUACUCCGGGGAUAACAGGCUGAUACCGCCCAAGAGUUCAUAUCGACGGCGGUGUUUGGCACCUCGAUGUCGGCUCAUCACAUCCUGGGGCUGAAGUAGGUCCCAAGGGUACGGCUGUUCGCCGUUUAAAGUGGUACGCGAGCUGGGUUUAGAACGUCGUGAGACAGUUCGGUCCCUAUCUGCCGUGGGCGCUGGAAGAUUGAGAGGGGUUGCUCCUAGUACGAGAGGACCGGAGUGAACGCACCGCUGGUGUUCGGGUUGUCAUGCCAAUGGCAUUGCCCGGUAGCUAAGUGCGGAAAAGAUAAGCGCUGAAAGCAUCUAAGCGCGAAACUUGCCUCGAGAUGAAUCUUCCCUGACUCCUUGAGAGUCCUGAAGGGACGUUGAAGACGACGACGUUGAUAGGCCGGGUGUGUAAGCGCAGCGAUGCGUUGAGCUAACCGGUACUAAUGACCCGUGAGGCUUAACCUUACAACGC
rnacentral:rRNA from 1 species